ensembl:lncRNA
CUUCUCCUUCUUUGUUUACUAUGCGAGGAAGUGGCUGUCUUCUCAUGGGACACUAGACCAUCUGUUAAGCAGCCAGACAGUAUCAGCAACAGAGCUGUUCUGUCAGAUUGAAAAUGGCAAGACCUUGUUUUCUAGUAUUGUUUCCUAUAUCAUGCAAGAAUGAUUGACAACACUUACUCAAACGGAGCCAAAGUCAUGCCAGAAAGGAAGGAGAAUGCAGUGAGGAAAGCAAAGAUGACUGGAUUCUAGGAGCAUGGAUGCAGGCAGCCAGUUGUUGCUGAAAACUGUCACUCUUCCAGCUUUGAGUGCUCUGAGUACUCAAGGGCAUGUGGGAAACGAAGGCAGCAGCAGAGGAAGAGGGCUGUGUGGAUGCUCGUUCUAUAGCAGACACACUCUGAAGAAGAGAGAGCAUCCAGACUCCAAAGAUGACUUCUGGACUCUCUUUGAGAAACCAUCAUUCUUGUCCAGGGAAAAAGUGCAGCAGCUUCUGCAAAAGCACAGAAACAUCCAGCUUUAGUACAGAAGAAGGCAGAAUGAUAGACAAAGCCACAGACUGAUGUUUGUGCCUGAUUGCAUGGAAACUCAUAUAAAUUUCUCAUUUUUAUAUCUUUUAUAUCACAGAACUAAUUACAUUUGCACAAAGUUGGCAUUGAAACAGCAAAAGAGAAAAUUUUCCCCAUGCAAAGCAUUAUAAAAUGUCACCUGCUCUCCUGCUCCUGCCAUUCAAAAUUUCUGAUCCAGAGCAACCAACAGAACUGCUUCAGCAGGAACUGUGUAAUAAACCAUUACCAAUCAAGACCUCUUUAACAGUCCAUAUUUAGCACCAGCGUGGAAAAGAAAAAGCCCCAAGAUGAUGAAUAAGAUGGUGGGUAUUACAGUAGCUACAGGCAUAGACAGAAUUCCAGGAAACUUGGGAAAACAGUUUCUAGGCUUUACUUAGAAAAACCGUUUGCCAAAUGCCCUAAAAGAAGCUCAGUUUGUGGACCGUGGCUGUUUACCACAGAUGACAGAAAAUCACAUUAGUUAAGAUCUAAGCUCUUCAAGCUGAAUUUCAUUUUUGAGACCAAUAAUUCCUGUUCAUAUUUCUCCAGAGAAUUGCCAGCAGCCCUCACAUGUAACAGCUGGGCACCAGGGACACAUUUGUUGGCCAAGGACACAGUUGCUGCAUGAAGUUUUCUAAAGCACCUAGCGUAUUUCUACACGUGCACUUAUCCAGAAAGAAACCAUUUCCUAUUCAAAACCUUCCUGUAAGCUACCAAUGUCCUAAAUGGAGAUAGUGCACAUUAUCUGGAUAUCAGUUCAUAGCAAUUGUGAUUCAGUCAUUUAUGAACUGGCUCAUAUGUGGCCAGCCCAUAGCACAGGCAGAACAGAGUGUAGCCCUAACCCUCAUCUUUACCUACAUCUGCUUAUGUAGAUACACUUUGGCUCACAAGGGUUUUGUUGUUGGUGGGUUUUUUUAUUUGGUUGGUUGUUGGCUGUUCUUUUUUCCCCUCAAGAUAAUUUUUAGAGCAAUUUAUCCUUGUAAAUAAAAUAGUCAACUUGAUUUCAAUUCACACACACAGAUUCCAAAUCUUGAUAAAUCUAAUUUGCCAGUUACACAGACUCUCAACGUGAGUACAAUUAUCUCACUUUCAGCAUACAACAGGUUGAGGAAAACCUUCAGUCAGACAUGAAUAUUUAAUGUAAUUUUAAAAAUUAGACAGUGGAUGUUUUUAGUGUGGUUUAGAGAUGGCAGAGAUCACUUAUUUCACUCUAUGGAGUGAUAUAAACACUGGG